rnacentral:rRNA from 1 species
UACGAAGGUGGCAAGCGUUGUUCGGAAUUACUGGGCGUAAAGCGUGCGUAGGCGGUUUGUUAAGUCUGAUGUGAAAGCCCUGGGCUCAACCUGGGAAUUGCAUUGGAUACUGGCAGGCUAGAGUGCGGUAGAGGAUGGCGGAAUUCCCGGUGUAGCAGUGAAAUGCGUAGAGAUCGGGAGGAACAUCUGUGGCGAAGGCGGCCAUCUGGACCAGCACUGACACUGAGGCACGAAAGCGUGGGGAGCAAACAGG